rnacentral:rRNA from 1 species
AUUGAACGCUGGCGGCAUGCUUUACACAUGCAAGUCGAACGGCAGCGGGGGCUUCGGCCCGCCGGCGAGUGGCGAACGGGUGAGUAAUGCAUCGGAACGUGCCCAGUCGUGGGGGAUAACACAUCGAAAGAUGUGCUAAUACCGCAUACGUCCUGAGGGAGAAAGCGGGGGAUCUUCGGACCUCGCGCGAUUGGAGCGGCCGAUGUCGGAUUAGCUAGUUGGUGGGGUAAAAGCCCACCAAGGCGACGAUCCGUAGCGGGUCUGAGAGGAUGAUCCGCCACACUGGGACUGAGACACGGCCCAGACUCCUACGGGAGGCAGCAGUGGGGAAUUUUGGACAAUGGGGGGCAACCCUGAUCCAGCCAUGCCGCGUGAGUGAAGAAGGCC